GUGUCAGCAGCCGCGGUAAUACGGAGGGUGCAAGCGUUGUCCGGAUUUAUUGGGUUUAAAGGGUGCGUAGGCGGCCCAUUAAGUCAGUGGUGAAAGCCCGGGGCUCAACCCCGGAACCGCCAUUGAUACUGGUGGGCUUGAGUAUGGACGAGGUUGGCGGAAUUGAGGGUGUAGCGGUGAAAUGCUUAGAUACCCUCAAGAACACCGAUUGCGUAGGCAGCUAACUAGGCCAUAACUGACGCUGAGGCACGAAAGCGUGGGGAGCGAACAGGAUUAGAUACCCCGGUAGUCC
rnacentral:rRNA from 1 species